GACGGAGGGUGCAAGCGUUGCUCGGAAUCAUUGGGCGUAAAGCGCACGUAGGCGGUUCGUUAAGUCGGAUGUGAAAGCCCCAGGCUCAACUUGGGAAGUGCAUUCGAAACUGGCGAGCUUGAAUAUGGAAGAGGGUCGCGGAAUUCCCGGUGUAGAGGUGAAAUUCGUAGAUAUCGGGAGGAACACCAGUGGCGAAGGCGGCGACCUGGGCCAAUAUUGACGCUGAGGUGCGAAAGCGUGGGGAGCAAACAGG
rnacentral:rRNA from 1 species